CAAUAGCGUAUAUUAAAGUUGUUGCAGUUAAAAAGCUCGUAGUUGGAUUUGUGGCGUACGGUGUGUUCCGGGCACUUGUUGUCUGAGUAACCUGCUGUUGCCAUCCUUGGGUUGAACCUGUGUGGCAUUAGGUUGUCGUGCAGGGGAUGCCCAUCAUUUACUGUGAAAAAAUUAGAGUGUUCAAAGCAGGCUUAUGCCGUUGAAUAUAUUAGCAUGGAAUAAUGAGAUAGGACUUUUUUGCUAUUUUGUUGGUUUGCGCAAAGAGGUAAUGAUUAAUAGGGACAGUUGGGGGUAUUCGUAUUCCAUUGUCAGAGGUGAAAUUCUUGGAUUUUUGGAAGACGAACUACUGCGAAAGCAUUUACCAAGGAUGUUUUCAUUAA
rnacentral:rRNA from 1 species